rnacentral:rRNA from 1 species
ACCCCCCUUGCAGACCUCUGGAAUGCUCGGGCGGCUGUCUCUAGGGUCAGUCGGGCUCCUUGGCAACAGGGAGUCGGCAACCAUUUUACACACCCAACCAAUCUGUCUGUCUGAAGCUAAAUCGAUCCGGCACUGCUGGUCGACUAACAAAGACAACUCUCAACAACGGAUAUCUAGGCUCUCGCAACGAUGAAGAACGCAGCGAAAUGCGAUACGUAGUGUGAAUUGCAGAAUUCCGUGAAUCAUCGAAUCUUUGAACGCAUAUUGCGGUCGAGGCUUCGGCCAAGACCAUGUCUGCCUCAGCGUCGGUGUGAACCCUCAUUCUCCCCCCUGGGGGCUGAAUGGAUCUGGCCUCCCCACCUUGGUGGGCUGUCUGAAAUACGGAGAUUUUAGCUUGGACCUGUAUGGCAACAGCAAGGUAGGUAGCUCGACUACUCCAGCUGAUGCUUUGGGUACUUGCACGAGUCCGCAGGAAAUUCUCACCUUUUCGACCUGAGAUCAGG